rnacentral:rRNA from 1 species
GACGAACGCUGGCGGCGUGCUUAACACAUGCAAGUCGAACGGAAAGGCCCUGCUUGCAGGGUACUCGAGUGGCGAACGGGUGAGUAACACGUGGGUGAUCUGCCCUGCACUUCGGGAUAAGCCUGGGAGACUGGGUCUAAUACCGGAUAGGAGCCAUUUUUAGUGUGAUGGUUGGAAAGUUUUUUCGGUGUAGGAUGAGCUCGCGGCCUAUCAGCUUGUUGGUGGGGUAAUGGCCUACCAAGGCGGCGACGGGUAGCCGGCCUGAGAGAGUGGACGGCCACAUUGGGACUGAGAUACGGCCCAGACUCCUACGGGAGGCAGCAGUGGGGAAUAUUGCACAAUGGGCGCAAGCCUGAUGCAGCGACGCCGCGUGGGGGAUGACGGCCUUCGGGUUGUAAACUCCUUUCGCUAGGGACGAAGCUUUUUGUGACGGUACCUAGAUAAGAAGCACCGGCUAACUACGUG